AUAUCUCCCUCUGUGAUCGUAGCGGUCGUCUCUUAUAUUUUCUAUUUGAGUUCCUCUUCAUCGCGUAGUAAAGACGAUACAUACACGCGAUCCUUUAUCUAUUCUCAUAGAAAGAAGUUACACAUAUGGUAAAAUCGGAUGAUCUUGGUGAAUGUGCCAUGGAACAUCUGUCUCUUUCUUCAGCACAUUCGAUUCAAUGCUGAGACGUUUCUGCAUUCAGCUGGUAACAAAACUGGAAACUGCAAUCGAAUGACGAAACUACGAGAUUUUGUGCGAUAAACACAACAAAAAUAUAUAAAGUUUUUCUUCGAAGUGAUAUACAUGUAGGUAUGAUAUUAUAUGUAGUCCUUGUGCAAUGAAUCAUUUUAAAUAUUACGGAAUUUUAUAUAAAUCCUGUACUUUGCUUCAUCGAUACGAUAGUAAAUAGUAUGAUAAAAGUAGUAAUAUUUGAAUAAACAAAUAAUUUACGACUUAUUCUGCUUAUUUACAAUGAAAAGCAAAAAAGAAAUAAUAAUGAAAUCAUCUCAAUAAA